GUAGGUAUAGCUCAGUGGUAGAGUGCAUGCUUAGCAUGCAUGAGGUUCUGGGUUCGAUCCCCAGUCCCUCCA
rnacentral:tRNA from 1 species